rnacentral:lncRNA from 1 species
UUAAUACUUCAGUUUCAUUAUGAAUAUAUCUUUCACAUUCAUUUGUUAAAAUUUACUGUUUGCAAUAGCAUGAAUCGUUCUAUAUAAAAGUGUUCUUAUCCCGGGCAUAAAAACAAUGCCGUAUUUGGCAAAAUCUUUUCAACUUUUGAUCUUCAGUGCUGUACAACUUUGUACUUUUUCACUUUCGAUCUUUUAUAUCUGGGCGUUAUGUAUUCGGGUUUAGUUUUCUGUAAUUAGUUAAUACUUCAGUUUCAUUAUGUAUAUCUCUUUCAUAUUCAUUUGUUAAAAUUUACUGUUUGCAAUAGCAUGAAUUGUUCUAUAUAAUAAGAAUGUUCUUAUCCCGGGCAUACAAACAAUGCCGUAUUUGGCAAAACCUUUUCAACUUUUGAUCUUCAGUGCUGUACAACUUUGUACUUUUUUCACUUUCGAUCUUUUAUAUCUGGGCGUCACUAGUGAGUCUUGUGUGGACAAGACGCGUUUUUGGCGUAUUGAAUUUUAAACCUGAUGCUUUUUGUUAUCUAUUAAUCAUGCUUUUCUUUGUCUAAUAUGGUCUCCUUUUUAUUUGUAUUGUAGUCCUGUAAUAUUAUGUUGUCAUUUCAAUGUUAUAUUUAACUUUGCCAUUAAAGUGCGAGGUUCAACCCACCACUUUUAUUCCCCUUUAAAAGUGUCCUGUACCUAGUCAGGAAGAUGGCCAUUGUUAUAAUAUUGUUCGUUUCUGUGUGUGUUGCAUUUUAACGUUGAGUCGUUUGUGUUUUCUCUUAUUUUUG